GCAAGCGACACCUUUGAUGCUGCCUUCCUCUGUUUUGUAUUGCACAGGUGCUUUCUCAUUCCAUCUGCUCUUGGCACACUGCUCCCAUAAUCCCCCUGCGAGACAACAUUGACAACUACUACGAAGUGAACGCACACACCUGCUUCCAACACUUCUCUGCCCAAUCCUGUGUUACUUCCAGAUAAGUACAUUGUUUUAGUACAAUUUGCAUUUUUACUAAUUUUUUUUAAAUCGGAUGUAGAGCUGGCAAAAAUUCAUCGAUUAAUCGACACCUAAUCGAUUAUCAAAACUACCAUUGAUUAUUUUAAUCACUCAACAAACAGCAAUUGGUUAAUAAAUAGUAAUUGAGGAAAAUGGAUAUUGUACCGCUGAUUCACAUUGGUCUUUGCUUUUCUCCAGCACAUCAGGGUUUUAUAAUAAUGAUGAUAAUAGUAAUAUCUUUGUGCAUUACAGAAAUGGUUUUUAUAAAAUAUUUCUGCAACAUUUCUAUUUUUCAAGUUCCAGCAACUUUUAAUGAAGACUAAAAGUAUCUUUUGGUAAUUAUUUUUGUUUUAUUUAUAGUCAAACAGAGUAGGAGGCACAUUGAGGCUGCAGCAGCAGGAAGGAGGACCUUCACGACGCAGGUGUGCGAAUUAAAAAGCUGCCGACACCUUGUUUCCUUCUCUGAGCUCCCCCAGCGUUCCAUCUGUGAAAACGGCACGCUGCGCUUCCUCCAGCUGGGAUCCUCCACAUCAUUUCUUGUCAAAAUGACAAGGGAAGUGCAGCCUUAGUCACGACUGAAAUUCACUGUUAUGCAGGGGGCAUCAGCAUUUUUGAAAUUGAGAACUACUUUUAUUUUGAGAUACUGAUUAAUGCGAAGUCUACCCGUUUGGUACUUGUGAAAUUUAUUAGACCUGUGAAAAUACGGAGCAUGUUAAUGAAUGGUUAUAUUCAGCAGUUUAACAAACUUUUGUACCAAUAAAUAUCCAUCUCACACUUAAAGUGUAAGGCAAGUCAAA